GACGAACGCUGGCGGCGUGCUUAACACAUGCAAGUCGAACGAAGUGGCGAACGGGUGAGUAACGCGUAAUCAACCUGCCCUUCAGAGGGGGACAACAGUUGGAAACGACUGCUAAUACCGCAUACUGAAGGAGGGGAUUGCGGCGGAUUAGCCAGUUGGAGGGAUAACGGCCCAACAAGGCGAUGAGCAGUAGCCGGUCUGGGAGGGUGAACGGCCCCAUUUGGACUGAGACACGGCCCAGACUCCUACGGGAGGCAGCAGUGGGGAAUCUUCCGCAAUGGACGAAAGUCUGACGGAGCAACGCCGCGUGAGUGAUGACGGCCUUCGGGUUGUAAAGCUCUGUUAAUCGGGACGCGGUACCGGAAUAGAAAGCCACGGCUAACUACGUGCCAGCAGCCGCGGUAAUUC
rnacentral:rRNA from 1 species